CGAUGAACCUGGAGCUUGCUCUAGGGGAUUAGUGGCGAACGGGUGAGUAACACGUGAGUAACCUGCCCUUGACUCUGGGAUAACCUCCGGAAACGGAAGCUAAUACCGGAUACGACGUACGGAGGCAUCUCCUGUACGUGGAAAGAAUUUCGGUCAAGGAUGGACUCGCGGCCUAUCAGGUAGUUGGUGAGGUAACGGCCCACCAAGCCUACGACGGGUAGCCGGCCUGAGAGGGUGACCGGCCACACUGGGACUGAGACACGGCCCAGACUCCUACGGGAGGCAGCAGUGGGGAAUAUUGCACAAUGGGCGCAAGCCUGAUGCAGCAACGCCGCGUGAGGGAUGACGGCCUUCGGGUUGUAAACCUCUUUUAGUAGGGAAGAAGCGAAAGUGACGGUACCUGCAGAAAAAGCACCGGCUAACUACGUGCCAGCAGCCGCGGUAAUACGUAGGGUGCGAGCGUUGUCCGGAAUUAUUGGGCGUAAAGAGCUCGUAGGCGGUCUGUCGCGUCUGCUGUGAAAACCCGAGGCUCAACCUCGGGCCUGCAGUGGGUACGGGCAGACUAGAGUGCGGUAGGGGAGAAUGGAAUUCCUGGUGUAGCGGUGGAAUGCGCAGAUAUCAGGAGGAACACCGAUGGCGAAGGCAGUUCUCUGGGCCGUAACUGACGCUGAGGAGCGAAAGCGUGGGGAGCGAACAGGAUUAGAUACCCUGGUAGUCCACGCCGUAAACGUUGGGCGCUAGAUGUGGGGACCAUUCCACGGUUUCCGUGUCGCAGCUAACGCAUUAAGCGCCCCGCCUGGGGAGUACGGCCGCAAGGCUAAAACUCAAAGGAAUUGACGGGGGCCCGCACAAGCGGCGGAGCAUGCGGAUUAAUUCGAUGCAACGCGAAGAACCUUACCAAGGCUUGACAUAUACGAGAACGGGCCAGAAAUGGUCAACUCUUUGGACACUCGUAAACAGGUGGUGCAUGGUUGUCGUCAGCUCGUGUCGUGAGAUGUUGGGUUAAGUCCCGCAACGAGCGCAACCCUCGUUCUAUGUUGCCAGCACGUAAUGGUGGGAACUCAUAGGAGACUGCCGGGGUCAACUCGGAGGAAGGUGGGGAUGACGUCAAAUCAUCAUGCCCCUUAUGUCUUGGGCUUCACGCAUGCUACAAUGGCCGGUACAAAGGGCUGCAAUACCGUAAGGUGGAGCGAAUCCCAAAAAGCCGGUCUCAGUUCGGAUUGAGGUCUGCAACUCGACCUCAUGAAGUCGGAGUCGCUAGUAAUCGCAGAUCAGCAACGCUGCGGUGAAUACGUUCCCGGGCCUUGUACACACCGCCCGUCAAGUCAUGAAAGUCGGUAACACCCGAAGCCG
rnacentral:rRNA from 1 species